AUUGAACGCUGGCGGCAGGCUUAACACAUGCAAGUCGAGCGGGGUGAUGGUGCUUGCACUAUCACUUAGCGGCGGACGGGUGAGUAAUGCUUAGGAAUCUGCCUAUUAGUGGGGGACAACAUCUCGAAAGUGAUGCUAAUACCGCAUACGUCCUACGGGAGAAAGCAGGGGAUCACUUGUGACCUUGAGCUAAUAGAUGAGCCUAAGUCGGAUUAGCUAGUUGGUGGGGUAAAGGCCUACCAAGGCGACGAUCUGUAGCCGGUCUGAGAGGAUGACCAGCCACACUGGGACUGAGACACGGCCCAGACUCCUACGGGAGGUAGCAGUGGGGAAUAUUGGACAAUGGGGGGAACCCUGAUCCAGCCAUGCCGCGUGUGUGAAGAAGGCCUUAUGGUUGUAAAGCACUUUAAGCGAGGAGGAGGCUCUUUUGGUUAAUACCCAAGAUGAGUGGACGUUACUCACAGAAUAAGCACCGGCUAACUCUGUGCCAGCAGCCGCCGUAA
rnacentral:rRNA from 1 species